GGGAGUUGUAGUCCCUGCGAGACAACGCCCUCCCGACUCCACCAGGCUCUGCACUCCAUCUCCCAGCCGACCCCGCGCCGCGGAGGAGGCGAGCUUGGUGAUGAGCUGCCGCAGCGGUAGGGGGCCUGGGGCGGAGAAGCCGCUACAGCCGCGGCUGGGCGACGCUGACAUCUGGCAUCCCUGGGGUCUCAGAGACACGGGUGGACAGCGACGAGGGCCUUGUGGCCGCCGUGUGUACCCGUGCUUACCCUCUGUCCUCCCUACAGGCGCACGGCGUCCGCCAUGGAAGCGCAUCCGACCGCUGGGGUCUCUGGGUGCCGCGGCCUCGGCUCUCCGGGGCGAUGAGGGACUAGAGGCGCCCUGAGGCCCGCCUGCCUCCCGCGCUCUGGCCACCCCGGCGGGAAAAGGAUCGGGCGGGCGGGCGGUCCCACAGUGCCCGCCUUUGCGCCGCCCCACCCCCUGGGGGCGCUGCCGAGGGGGCGCCAGCCGCCCAUGCCGCCCCGGCGCCCAGCCGCGCCUGGCGCCCGCCGCUGAAGCGCAGGACGCGCCGCCGCCCGCGCUCACCGCCGUCCGCGCCAGCCGCCCCGAGCCGACUGCCCUUCUGCCCCCAAGAUGUGGCACAGCGUCGGGCUGACUCUGCUUGUGUUCGUGGCCACGCUGCUGAUCGUCCUGCUGCUGAUGGUGUGCGGGUUGGUAUUUU
rnacentral:lncRNA from 1 species